AUCGAACGCUGGCGGCAGGCCUAACACAUGCAAGUCGAACGAGUGGCGGACGGGUGAGUAAUGUCGGGGAAACUGCCUGAUGGAGGGGGAUAACUACUGGAAACGGUAGCUAAUACCGCAUACCAUCAGAUGUGCCCAGACGGGAUUAGCUUGUGGGUGGGGUAACGGCUCACCAGGGCUACGAUCCCUAGCUGGUCUGAGAGGAUGACCGGCAAAACUGGAACUGAGACACGGUCCAGACUCCUACGGGAGGCAGAAGUGGGGAAUAUUGCACAAUGGGCGCAUGCCUGAUGCAGACAUGCGGCGUGUAUGAAGAAGGCCUUCGGGUUGUAAAGUACUUUCAGCGGGGAGGCGUUACCCGCAGAAGAAGCACCGGCUAACUCCGUGCCAGCAGCCGCGGUAAUAC
rnacentral:rRNA from 1 species